UGAGGUCUGGGAGUUGACGGUUGAGGUUUGAGAGUUGGGAGUUGAGGUUUGUCAGUUGGGAGUUGAGGCUUGGGUGUUGGAGAAGGAAGAGGGUGGAAUACGCAGUGGGUUGGUUGAGUUGUAUUGUGAGAGAGUGAGAGGAAUUGGUAGGGAGUUAGAUAGAUAGUUGGGAAUAAUUCAGUUUGAAGUUGUAGGAACUAAGAUUUAAGAAACUGACAAGAGAAAAAUAAACCGAAACCGUAUGCU